UAUAUUCUGAAAGGUAAACAAAUUUAAUUCCUAAUCUCGAAAGGUACAGACCCCGUAUUUCGAAAUCUCUCAGCUAAAAUUCCCUUCAAAUCGGCGCUCCACUCUCUGGCGGAACUCGCCUUGCCUCGCCGCCCUUCCUCACCGGGUUUUCUUUCACCGUCCGCCUGCUUUACCAGCCCCGUCGGAUUCCGGUAUUAAUGAAGAUCUCUAACCUUUUGGAAGGGGAUUCUGAGUGUGGCAUAAUGAACAAAAGUGCCAAAAAGGGUCGUUUAUGUGUAAGAAAAUACACGACACUGAGAGAUAUUUUUUUUGCAAAUCUACCGGAAGAGAUUACGAUAGAGAUCUUACAAAGACUCCCCAUAAGGAGCGUUAUGACGUGCAAGUGUGUUCUUAAAUCAUGGCGCCAUCUGAUUGAGGGGGAUGCCUUUGGGAUGUCGUAUACUCCGAAACCAGGCCAAUUUUUCGUGUAUGUUGACUUGGAAAUGAGUUGCUUCAGCUAAUGGUUUGCUUUCAGUGUGGGAUCUAAGGUAUAACAUUCUAUUUAUAUGCAAUCCAAUGACUCGAGAGCAUGUCGAGCUCCCUCCUCUAUCUAAGUUCAAUGGAUGUUGCUUUUAUGGAUUAGGAGUGAGCAAAACAAGUGGUCAUAUAAGAUUGUAUAUGUUGAUAAAGAUAGUUGUUGGGUAUACACUCUAGGAACAGGGCCGUGGAGAAGCAUUAAAGCAACUGAUUCAUGCGCUGGUUCAUUGAGUUUGGUUGGUGCUGCAUUUUUUAAUGGAAAUCUUCACUGGUUGACAUAUGAUUCGAAAGAUAAUCUCUUUGUUUGUUGCUUUGAUUUGGAAGGUGAGCUCUUUAUCCAUUUUUCUCUUCCUUGUGAGUUUGGGGGCGAUACAUAUAGCUCCCAGGAGAUAUGUAUUUUUGAGGGUCGGCUAUGUUUAAGUGGUGUUUUAAAUAGGCGUCAUAUCGUUAUUUGGAUGAUGUACAACUAUGGAGAUGAUAAAUCUUGGAAAAAGGAAUAUAGCUUUGACUUACCCACAAAUUAUUCAAAGAGGCACGGCCUCAAAUUCUUGGUGAAUGGCGAAUUGUUGAUAGCAGUACCAGGUUUUUAUCCGUGCACAACUCAUGAUCCACUAGUUUUUAUCAACACCAAAAACAAUGAAGCUCCGGUGGCAUGUGAGACAUAUGGUCAUUUGAAAAAAACUUAUUCUUCAAGUGACCAAACUUAUUCUUCCUGUAUUGCUACUUAUACCCCAACCUUAAUUUCACUCACCACCAUGGGGUGUCAUAAUGUUCAGCUGUUAAAAUUUUUGUAGGAGUAUUAGUUAAACAUAUAAACAGAUUGUACUUAUGUAUUUUUGGUUUAUUUAUAUGCUUCUUAUUUACAUAAUUGUAAACUUCUUGGCUAUCUAUAGAAUUUGUCAGCGUUUGUUA